rnacentral:rRNA from 1 species
AUUGAACGCUGGCGGCAGGCCUAACACAUGCAAGUCGAGCGGAAGAAGGGAGCUUGCUCCUGGAUUCAGCGGCGGACGGGUGAGUAAUGCCUAGGAAUCUGCCUGGUUGUGGGGGAUAACGUCCGGAAACGGGCGCUAAUACCGCAUACGUGCUGAGGGAGAAAGUGGGGGAUCUUCGGACCUUACGCUAUCAGAUGAGCCUAGGUCGGAUUAGCUAGUUGGUGGGGUAAAGGCCUACCAAGGCGACGAUCCGUAACUGGUCUGAGAGGAUGAUCAGUCACACUGGAACUGAGACACGGUCCAGACUCCUACGGGAGGCAGCAGUGGGGAAUAUUGGACAAUGGGCGAAAGCCUGAUCCAGCCAUGCCGCGUGUGUGAAGAAGGUCUUCGGAUUGUAAAGCACUUUAAGUUGGGAGGAAGGGCAGUAAGUUAAUACCUUGCUGUUUUGACGUUACCAACAGAAUAAGCACCGGCUAACUUCGUG